rnacentral:lncRNA from 1 species
GAGCGCAUUUGUUUCUAACCUAAACGAUGUAAACGAUUACGCGCGUAGUCGUUUAAUCCAUUUGUUUCUUACAUUUUUUGGUCAACGUUGACAUCGUUCACAUAAACGAUGUACGCGCAAAAUAGUCGCGUAGUCGUUGAUCGUUUAUCGUUGAGACGUGUAAACGAUAAAUUUGUUUCUGCAUCUGUCGUUUAAAUAAUUACGAGCACGUGUUGUUUUCGCAAAGUUCUGGUUAUUUAUUUCCCGCACUUUUACCUGUUUGUUUACAGUGCGUGAGUGUAAUCUAUUUCUGUCUGACUACGCGGGGUCGAUAAAGUUUAUUAAACGAUGUAUUUGUUU